GGAGGUGCUGGGGCUCAGUGGAAGACCCUCUGCUUUGCAUGCGGAAGGUGUCAGGUUCGAUCCCCAGCAUCUCCA
rnacentral:tRNA from 1 species